AGUGAACGCUGGCGGUAGGCCUAACACAUGCAAGUCGAACGGCAGCACAGGAGAGCUUGCUCUCUGGGUGGCGAGUGGCGGACGGGUGAGGAAUACAUCGGAAUCUACUCUGUCGUGGGGGAUAACGUAGGGAAACUUACGCUAAUACCGCAUACGACCUACGGGUGAAAGCAGGGGACCUUCGGGCCUUGCGCGAUGUAAGGAGCCGAUGUCGGAUUAGCUAGUUGGCGGGGUAAAGGCCCACCAAGGCGACGAUCCGUAGCUGGUCUGAGAGGAUGAUCAGCCACACUGGAACUGAGACACGGUCCAGACUCCUACGGGAGGCAGCAGUGGGGAAUAUUGGACAAUGGGCGCAAGCCUGAUCCAGCCAUACCGCGUGGGUGAAGAAGGCCUUCGGGUUGUAAAGCCCUUUUGUUGGGAAAGAAAUCCAGCUGGCUAAUACCCGGUUGGGAUGACGGUACCCAAAGAAUAAGCACCGGCUAACUUCGUGCCAGCCGCCGCCGUAA
rnacentral:rRNA from 1 species